UCAACAGGUUUAUAUGUGUCUUAUUUUUGGUCGCAUCACGUGGUAGGAGUGGCUAUUUGCUGCUAUUUAGGCUUUUCUUAUGGAUGUCACUCCUUUGGUGCAUGAACAUUUCAGAUGCUACAAGGAAAAGUCCAGAUGUCUCUGCUCAGGUCCCUGGUAUUGGUUUUCCUGAUUUUUGGAUACUUCGCUUGUUCUGAGCCCGAAGACGGAGCUGACGCACAAGAAUCCCAGUGAGUGUCUCCUUUAUUUACCGUGUGUGUGUGCGAAGAAACGGGAUGCGC
rnacentral:lncRNA from 1 species